rnacentral:rRNA from 1 species
CCUACGGGAGGCAGCAGUGGGGAAUAUUGGACAAUGGGGGAAACCCUGAUCCAGCGAUGCCGCGUGAGUGAAGAAGGCCUUCGGGUUGUAAAGCUCUUUCAGUGGGGAAGCGGUACCCACAGAAGAAGGACCGGCUAACUUCGUGCCAGCAGCCGCGGUAAUACGAAGGGUCCUAGCGUUGUUCGGAAUUACUGGGCGUAAAGGGCGCGUAGGCGGCUUACUAAGUCAGGUGUGAAAGCCCCGAGCUUAACUUGGGAACUGCACUUGAUACUGGUAGGCUAGAGAUCGGAAGAGGUGAGUGGAAUUCCUAGUGUAGAGGUGAAAUUCGUAGAUAUUAGGAAGAACACCAGUGGCGAAGGCGACUCACUGUCGAUACUGACGCUAAGGCGCGAAAGCGUGGGGAGCAAACAGGAUUAGAUACCCUGGUAGUC